rnacentral:rRNA from 1 species
GAUGAACGCUGGCGGCGUGCCUAAUACAUGCAAGUCGAGCGAACAGACGAGGAGCUUGCUCCUCUGACGUUAGCGGCGGACGGGUGAGUAACACGUGGAUAACCUACCUAUAGGACUGGGAUAACUUCGGGAAACCGGAGCUAAUACCGGAUAAUAUAUUGAACCGCAUGGUUCAAUAGUGAAAGACGGUUUUGCUGUCACUUAUAGAUGGAUCCGCGCCGCAUUAGCUAGUUGGUAAGGUAACGGCUUACCAAGGCAACGAUGCGUAGCCGACCUGAGAGGGUGAUCGGCCACACUGGAACUGAGACACGGUCCAGACUCCUACGGGAGGCAGCAGUAGGGAAUCUUCCGCAAUGGGCGAAAGCCUGACGGAGCAACGCCGCGUGAGUGAUGAAGGUCUUCGGAUCGUAAAACUCUGUUAUUAGGGAAGAACAAAUGCGUAAGUAACUAUGCACGUCUUGACGGUACCUAAUCAGAAAGCCACGGCUAACUACGUG